GAUGAAGAACGUAGUGAAAUGCGAUAAGUAAUGUGAAUUGCAGAAUUCAGUGAAUCAUCGAAUCUUUGAACGCACAUUGCGCCCGCCAGUAUUCUGGCGGGCAUGCCUUUUCGAGCGUCAUUACAACCCUCAGGCCCCCGGGCCUGGCGUUGGGGAUCGGCGGAGCCCCCCGUGGGCACACGCCGUCCCCCAAAUGCAGUGGCGGUCCCGCCGCAGCUUCCAUCGCGUAGUAGCUAACACCUCGCGACUGGAGAGCGGCGCGGCCACGCCGUAAAACACCCAACUCUUCUGAAGUUGACCUCGAAUCAGGUAGGAAUACCCGCUGAACUUAAGCAUAUCAAUAAGCGGAGGA
rnacentral:misc_RNA from 1 species